UGCUUCGGCGGGAACAGACGGCCCUGUAACAACGGGCCGCCCCCGCCAGAGGACCCCUAACUCUGUUUUUAUAAUGUUUUUCUGAGUAAACAAGCAAAUAAAUUAAAACUUUCAACAACGGAUCUCUUGGCUCUGGCAUCGAUGAAGAACGCAGCGAAAUGCGAUAAGUAAUGUGAAUUGCAGAAUUCAGUGAAUCAUCGAAUCUUUGAACGCACAUUGCGCCCGCCAGUAUUCUGGCGGGCAUGCCUGUUCGAGCGUCAUUACAACCCUCAGGCCCCCGGGCCUGGCGUUGGGGAUCGGCGGAAGCCCCCUGUGGGCACACGCCGUCCCUCAAAUACAGUGGCGGUCCCGCCGCAGCUUCCAUUGCGUAGUAGCUAACACCUCGCAACUGGAGAGCGGCGCGGCCAUGCCGUAAAACACCCAACUUCUGAAUGUUGACCUCGAAUCAGGUAGGAAUACCCGCUGAACUUAAGCAUAUCAAUAAGCCCG
rnacentral:rRNA from 1 species